UACGGGGGGGGGCUAGCGUUGUUCGGAAUUACUGGGCGUAAAGCGCACGUAGGCGGAUCAGCAAGUUAGGGGUGAAAUCCCGGGGCUCAACCCCCGGAACUGCCUUUAAAACUGUUGGUCUGGAGGUCGAGAGAGGUGAGUGGAAUUCCGAGUGUAGAGGUGAAAUUCGUAGAUAUUCGGAGGAACACCAGUGGCGAAGGCGGCUCACUGGCUCGAUACUGACGCUGAGGUGCGAAAGCGUGGGGAGCAAACAGG
rnacentral:rRNA from 1 species